rnacentral:rRNA from 1 species
CUUAGUGAUCCGGUGGUUCCGCAUGGAAGGGCCAUCGCUCAACGGAUAAAAGCUACCCCGGGGAUAACAGGCUUAUCUCCCCCAAGAGUUCACAUCGACGGGGAGGUUUGGCACCUCGAUGUCGGCUCAUCGCAUCCUGGGGCUGUAGUCGGUCCCAAGGGUUGGGCUGUUCGCCCAUUAAAGCGGUACGCGAGCUGGGUUCAGAACGUCGUGAGACAGUUCGGUCCCUAUCCGUCGUGGGCGUAGGAAAUUUGAGAGGAGCUGUCCUUAGUACGAGAGGACCGGGAUGGACAUACCUCUGGUGUACCAGUUGUCGUGCCAACGGCAUAGCUGGGUAGCUAUGUGUGGACGGGAUAAGUGCUGAAAGCAUCUAAGCAUGAAGCCCCCCUCAAGAUGAGAUUUCCCAACUUCGGUUAUAAGAUCCCUCAAAGAUGAUGAGGUUAAUAGGUUCGAGGUGGAAGCAUGGUGACAUGUGGAGCUGACGAAUACUAAUCGAUCGAAGACUUAAUCAA